rnacentral:sRNA from 12 species
CCCGGUCGGCGCGCACCGAAGCCCUACGUGCCCACGUGGGGUCCGCAGUAGGUGCCGCGGGCCGGG